UACAGAGGUCUCAAGCGUUGUUCGGAUUCAUUGGGCGUAAAGGGUGCGUAGGUGGGCAGGUAAGUCAGUGGUGAAAUCUCCGGGCUUAACCCGGAAACUGCCAUUGAUACUAUCUGUCUUGAAUACCGUGGAGGUGAGCGGAAUAUGUCAUGUAGCGGUGAAAUGCUUAGAUAUGACAUAGAACACCAAUUGCGAAGGCAGCUCACUACACGAAUAUUGACACUGAGGCACGAAAGCGUGGGGAUCAAACAGG
rnacentral:rRNA from 1 species